CCUGACUUUGCAUAUCUGGCAUCCAAAUAUCCAGAUUUUAAGCAGCAUGUUCAGAUAAAUCUGAAUGGAAGAGUGAGCCUUAAUUUUAAAGACCCCGAAGCAGUCAGAGCUCUGACUUGUACUCUCCUAAGGGAAGAUUUUGGACUUUCUAUUGAUAUUCCAUUGGAGAGACUAAUUCCCACAGUUCCCUUGAGACUCAACUAUAUUCACUGGGUAGAAGACCUGAUCGGUCACCAGGAUUCUGACAAAAGUACUCUCCGAAGAGGAAUUGACAUAGGUAUAUCGUUUUAAAUUCUUUUUUGGCUAAACAUAGGUUUCAUAAGUUUUGCAAGAUCAAAUUCUUUGUAAACUUUUCUACUGGGUAUUUGUUGUUGUACGAAAGAAGCUGGCUACAGAUACAGGUUGAGCAUCCUUAAUCCGAAAAUCCGAAAUGCUUCAAAAUCUGCAACCUUUGAGCACUGAUAUGCUGCUCAAAGGCAAUGUGCAUUGGAGCUUUCCAGAUUUGGGGGUUAGGGAUGUUCAGCCUGUAAAUAUAGUGCAAAUAUUUCAAAAUCUG
rnacentral:sRNA from 1 species